rnacentral:rRNA from 1 species
AUACGGAGUUACAAAGGACGACAUUAGACGAAUCAUCUGGAAAGAUGAAUCAAAGAAGGUAAUAAUCCUGUAGUCGAAAAUGUUGUCUCUCUUGAGUGGAUCCUGAGUACGACGGAGCACGUGAAAUUCCGUCGGAAUCUGGGAGGACCAUCUCCUAAGGCUAAAUACUCUCUAGUGACCGAUAGUGAACCAGUACCGUGAGGGAAAGGUGAAAAGCACCCCGGAAGGGGAGUGAAAUAGAACCUGAAACCGUGUGCUUACAAGUAGUCAGAGCCCGUUAAUGGGUGAUGGCGUGCCUUUUGUAGAAUGAACCGGCGAGUUACGAUUUGAUGCAAGGUUAAGCAGUAAAUGUGGAGCCGUAGCGAAAGCGAGUCUGAAUAGGGNUGGGGAUCAAACAGGAUUAGAUACCCUGGUAGUCCACGCCGUAAACGAUGAGUGCUAAGUGUUAGGGGGUUUCCGCCCCUUAGUGCUGCAGCUAACGCAUUAAGCACUCCGCCUGGGGAGUACGACCGCAAGGUUGAAACUCAAAGGAAUUGACGGGGACCCGCACAAGCGGUGGAGCAUGUGGUUUAAUUCGAAGCAACGCGAAGAACCUUACCAAAUCUUGACAUCCUUUGACAACUCUAGAGAUAGAGCCUUCCCCUUCGGGGGACAAAGUGACAGGUGGUGCAUGGUUGUCGUCAGCUCGUGUCGUGAGAUGUUGGGUUAAGUCCCGCAACGAGCGCAACCCUUAAGCUUAGUUGCCAUCAUUAAGUUGGGCACUCUAAGUUGACUGCCGGUGACAAACCGGAGGAAGGUGGGGAUGACGUCAAAUCAUCAUGCCCCUUAUGAUUUGGGCUACACACGUGCUACAAUGGACAAUACAAAGGGCAGCGAAACCGCGAGGUCAAGCAAAUCCCAUAAAGUUGUUCUCAGUUCGGAUUGUAGUCUGCAACUCGACUACAUGAAGCUGGAAUCGCUAGUAAUCGUAGAUCAGCAUGCUACGGUGAAUACGUUCCCGGGUCUUGUACACACCGCCCGUCACACCACGAGAGUUUGUAACACCCGAAGCCGGUGGAGUAACCUUUUAGGAGCUAGCCGUCGAAGGUGGGACAAAUGAUUGGGGUGAAGUCGUAACAAGGUAGCCGUAUCGGAAGGUGCGGCUG